GGAAGUAAAAGUCGUAACAAGGUCUCCGUUGGUGAACCAGCGGAGGGAUCAUUACCGAGUUUACAACU
rnacentral:rRNA from 1 species